rnacentral:rRNA from 1 species
CCUACGGGAGGCAGCAGUGAGGAAUAUUGGUCAAUGGGCGUAAGCCUGAACCAGCCAAGUCGCGUGAGGGAUGAAGGUUCUAUGGAUCGUAAACCUCUUUUAUAAGGGAAUAAAGUGUGGGACGUGUCCUGUUUUGUAUGUACCUUAUGAAUAAGGAUCGGCUAACUCCGUGCCAGCAGCCGCGGUAAUACGGAGGAUCCGAGCGUUAUCCGGAUUUAUUGGGUUUAAAGGGUGCGUAGGCGGCCUUUUAAGUCAGCGGUGAAAGUUUGUGGCUCAACCAUAGAAUUGCCGUUGAAACUGGGAGGCUUGAGUAUGUUUGAGGCAGGCGGAAUGCGUGGUGUAGCGGUGAAAUGCUUAGAUAUCACGAAGAACCCCGAUUGCGAAGGCAGCCUGCCAAGCCAUGACUGACGCUGAUGCACGAAAGCGUGGGGAUCAAACAGGAUUAGAUACCCGGGUAGUC